UACGGAGGGUGCAAGCGUUGUUCGGAAUUACUGGGCGUAAAGAGCACGUAGGCGGGUUCGUAUGUCGAUUGUGAAAUCCCCGGGCUUAACCUGGGAAUUGCAGUCGAAACUGCGAGUCUUGAAUGCUUGAGAGGGUGGUGGAAUUCCAGGUGUAGAAGUGAAAGUCGUAGAUAUCUGGAGGAACACCCGAGGCGAAGGCGACUGCCUGGCGAUGCAUUGACGCUGAGGUGCGAAAGCAUGGGUAGCAAACAGG
rnacentral:rRNA from 1 species